CCGCCCGGGUGUGCCGCUACCAUCGACCUCUCGAAAGAAGCUUUCGCAACCAUCGCCAACCCAGAUGCCGGCAAUGUGGAAGUCACCUAUUUUCAGGUUCCAUGAAGAUCUAUGAAGACAACAACCACCCUGCAAUAAAGACGGCUAGAAAUGUCGAUUCUAGCUUUUGCAUGGCUUUUUAUGUUAUGUUGUCUCAUCAAACGUGAACUCAGCGUCUCGAAACUGUCUGAGAUGAUGUCUCUAUGAAUAAGACUUGUAAACGUUAUUGUGUAA